rnacentral:lncRNA from 1 species
CAGACCUCAGAAGCCUGGAGGAAAGAGAGAAGCUGCCUAAACCUUGGCCAAGCCAAAGCAGACGAGAAUGUGCUCCAUCAAAAAGAGAGAAUAAACCAAGAAGAGGAAGACAGAGGAUCCGGAAACAGGGAUGAUGGUGCACGGAAGUCCCAGGAUGACAGCUGUGCAUCAGGCCUUCAGCAGCCAGGAUGGGAGCAGAAGGAUGGGGAGCUCUGGGAGUGUCUCCAAGAAAGAAAAAGAAACUGAUCAAAUAUCUAAUUUUUAAAACAUAUUGAGGGGAAAUUUAUACUUCUGCAAUAAAUUUUAGGAUAUCGUAAUAGAAACUAAGAAAAUAACAAAUAAAAAAACAAAAAAACAAAAAACAAGGUAAUUAUCAACCGCGGGAGAAGAAAGGUUGUAUGAGAAAAGAAAUAAAAACAGAAUUCAGUACAUGG